UGGAAUGAGGAAACCAAUCACUCAAGUUCAUCUCAAACCCACCAUAGUUGUUGUUGAGUAUAGUGAUAAGAGAUAUCAACUAAGAUGAGUGGUGGGAAGGGUUGGGUCUUUUUGGCUCUGUUGCUCUUCUUUUUCCUUGUCUCCUCGGAGCUGGGUGCAGCCAGGAAGCUAAUGGUGGCCGGAAACAAUGCAGCGGUCAUGCAUGAAGGCCGCACCACUUUCGUCACCCCCCGCACACAAUACUCCGACAGACCCCCUUGCUAUCGUAGCAGUCCUUAUGGAGAUUGCCCCUCAUUCCAACCCCCGGUCUGCGAUCCUUAUACACAAAACUGCCCUCCCAAGAACUGAAGUGGACACUAAGAUCAAACACCAUGGGAUCUAAAUAAAGUAACCCACACCUACCUGGGUUUUGAUUACUAUCUAUCUUACCUUUGUAGUGUACUGAAUCCUAUUUAUAUGGUUAUAAGUUUGGGAGAUUGGUGUUUUAUGCCGAGGAUGCGCGAUAUAAUUCGUAACUCGAUCAAUUUAUACCA